AGUGAACGCUGGCGGUAGGCCUAACACAUGCAAGUCAAACGGCAGCACAGUAAGAGCUUGCUCUUACGGGUGGCGAGUGGCGGACGGGUGAGGAAUACAUCGGAAUCUACUUUUUCGUGGGAGAUAACGUAGGGAAACUUACGCUAAUACCGCAUACGACCUACGGGUGAAAGCAGGGGAUCUUCUGACCUUGCGCGAUUGAAUGAGCCGAUGUCGGAUUAGCUAGUUGGCGGGGUAAAGGCCCACCAAGGCGACGAUCCGUAGCUGGUCUGAGAGGAUGAUCAGCCACACUGGAACUGAGACACGGUCCAGACUCCUACGGGAGGCAGCAGUGGGGAAUAUUGGACAAAGGGGGCAAGCCUGAUCCAGCCAUACCGCGUGGGUGAAGAAGGCCUUCGGGUUGUAAAGCCCUUUUGUUGGGAAAGAAAAGCAGCAGGUUAAUCCCCCGCUGUUCUGACGGUACCCAAAGAAUAAGCACCGGCUAACUUCGUG
rnacentral:rRNA from 1 species